rnacentral:tRNA from 1 species
AGUUUCAUAGUUUAAUUUAAAAUACCAGGCUGCAAUCCUGAAGAUACAUCUGAUGUUGAGACUU